rnacentral:rRNA from 1 species
GUGAAAUUUGUACUAAAACCUAUAUAUCCUUGUAAACAUUUGGAGGAGUUAAAAAGUGGGGACUAAAGACCAGGAUUAGAUACCCUGUUAUUCUUCAUUAAACUUAAUAGGGUAGUAAAAGUGAUUCUUCAAACCCAAAGAUUUUGGCGGCAUUCUAACCCAAUAGAGGAGCUUGUAUUGUAAUCGAUAACCCCCGCUUUAUCUUACCUUCACUUAUUUAGCUUGUAUACCUCCGUUGACAGAUUACUCUAAAAGGAUGUUUUCUAGAAAAAUUAUUUUUUUACUUCAGGUCAAGGUGCAGCUCAUGUGAAGGAAAUAAUGAGCUACAAUUCAUUCUAGGAAUCACGAAUAUAAAAUUGGAAUUUUAUUGAAGGUGGAUUUAUUAGUAAAUUGAUCUAAGAAAGGUCAAUUGAAUACGGCAAUAGCAUGUGCACAUAUCGCCCGUCACUCUCCUCCCAAGAGGAGAUAA